UGGGGAAUAUUGGACAAUGGGCGCAAGCCUGAUCCAGCCAUGCCGCGUGAGUGAUGAAGGCCCUAGGGUUGUAAAGCUCUUUCACCGGUGAAGAUAAUGACGGUAACCGGAGAAGAAGCCCCGGCUAACUUCGUGCCAGCAGCCGCGGUAAUACGAAGGGGGCUAGCGUUGUUCGGAUUUACUGGGCGUAAAGCGCACGUAGGCGGACUAUUAAGUCAGGGGUGAAAUCCCGGGGCUCAACCCCGGAACUGCCUUUGAUACUGGUAGUCUUGAGUUCGAGAGAGGUGAGUGGAAUUCCGAGUGUAGAGGUGAAAUUCGUAGAGAUUCGGAGGAACACCAGUGGCGAAGGCGGCUCACUGGCUCGAUACUGACGCUGAGGUGCGAAAGCGUGGGGAGCAAACAGG
rnacentral:rRNA from 1 species